rnacentral:rRNA from 1 species
CGUAAAGAGCUCGUAGGUGGUUUGUCGCGUUGUUCGUGAAAUCUCACGGCUUAACUGUGAGCGUGCGGGCGAUACGGGCAGACUUGAGUACUGCAGGGGAGACUGGAAUUCCUGGUGUAGCGGUGGAAUGCGCAGAUAUCAGGAGGAACACCGGUGGCGAAGGCGGGUCUCUGGGCAGUAACUGACGCUGAGGAGCGAAAGCGUGGGGAGCGAACAGGAUUAGAUACCCUGGUAGUCCACGCCGUAAACGGUGGGUACUAGGUGUGGGUUUCCUUCCUUGGGAUCCGUGCCGUAGCUAACGCAUUAAGUACCCCGCCUGGGGAGUACGGCCGCAAGGCUAAAACUCAAAGAAAUUGACGGGGGCCCGCACAAGCGGCGGAGCAUGUGGAUUAAUUCGAUGCAACGCGAAGAACCUUACCUGGGUUUGACAUGCACAGGACGCCGGCAGAGAUGUCGGUUCCCUUGUGGCCUGUGUGCAGGUGGUGCAUGGCUGUCGUCAGCUCGUGUCGUGAGAUGUUGGGUUAAGUCCCGCAACGAGCGCAACCCUUGUCUCAUGUUGCCAGCGGGUAAUGCCGGGGACUCGUGAGAGACUGCCGGGGUCAACUCGGAGGAAGGUGGGGAUGACGUCAAGUCAUCAUGCCCCUUAUGUCCAGGGCUUCACACAUGCUACAAUGGCCGGUACAAAGGGCUGCGAUGCCGCGAGGUUAAGCGAAUCCUUUUAAAGCCGGUCUCAGUUCGGAUCGGGGUCUGCAACUCGACCCCGUGAAGUCGGAGUCGCUAGUAAUCGCAGAUCAGCAACGCUGCGG